rnacentral:rRNA from 1 species
GACGAACGCUGGCGGCGCGCUUAACACAUGCAAGUCGAACGGAAAGGCCUGCUUUCCCUUGUGGAUUGCGGGUACUCGAGUGGCGAACGGGUGAGUAACACGUGAGUGAUCUGCCCCCAACUUGGGUAUAAGCCUGGGAAACUGGGUCUAAUUCCCGAUAGGACUGCAGGGUGGUGCCUGUGGUGGAAAACGAUUUUCUAGUGGUUGGGGAUGAGCUCGCGGCCUAUCAGCUUGUUGGUGGGGUAAUGGCCUACCAAGGCGGCGACGGGUAGCCGGCCUGAGAGGGUGGACGGCCACAUUGGGACUGAGAUACGGCCCAGACUCCUACGGGAGGCAGCAGUGGGGAAUAUUGCACAAUGGGCGGAAGCCUGAUGCAGCGACGCCGCGUGGGGGAUGACGGCCUUCGGGUUGUAAGCUCCUUUCGACCGCGAGGAAGCCACCUGGUUGGAAGGGUGGUGACGGUAGUGGUAGAAGAAGCACCGGCUAACUACGUG